UGACCCCUGAGUGACCCCUGUGUGACCCCUGUGUGACCCCUGACCCCUGAGUGACCCCUGUGUGACCCCUGUGUGACCCCCCCGGGGGCCGGGCUGGGGGUCCCGUUCCUGCUGCACGACCUGCUGGGGGACCAGAGACUGCUCAGUGUCCCCACGCCCGCCGGGCCCCUGCUGCGUUUGGCCGAUUCCUGACCCGGAAGUUCCGGAACCUUCCAGAGGAUUCUUUAAAUCCCCGCCCCCGGAAUUCCCGCGGGGGCGUGGCCUCGGUGCCUUUAGUUAAAUUAAAUGUUAAUUACCCGCUC